rnacentral:lncRNA from 1 species
GUACUGCUACCGAUACAUGAUUUAUAUUUGAGGUUACAUAUCUGGUACCUCAUAAGCAUGGCCACAGAGCUCUGCUAUCACAGUUUUGGCCUCUGAGCCUACCGUUCGGCACCCUGUGCCUACCGUUAUAACUCCUUAUCUACCUAGUCGAUCCUACUAUAUGUUUAUAAGGGCUAAGAUCUUAAUUAAGAUUGAUACUUGAUUUUGUGAACUUAUUAGUGAGUGUUAGCAUGUUUGCAUCUACUAGCUUAUAAUUGUUUACCUAUUUAUCUGUAUAUGUGAACUUGGUUGCUCUAUUUUGUUAUUUGUUUGCUAUCACCCACUGAGCAUUAGCUCAGCGUGUUGGUUUUUACCUCACGCAGGUUGUUGAUAAAGUAGGCACAGCGGAGGUCAUCAGAGGUCUACAUCAGAUAUCAAAGCCAUUAUCAUAGCUGGUUGUUUUGAGUCUUUGAGUCAUAGUACAGUUAUAUUUUGGCAUGUACAUAUUAAAUAGAGUGAGUUAUGAAGGUUAUGUAAAUCAAAGAAUAGUAAGAUGUCAAAUAUCAGUUGAUAAUUUUUCAUGUGUUUUUCAUAUGCGCUACAGGUUGAAAUAUUGAUGAAACAGAUGAGACUCUGCUAAAUAUUUAGUUUAAAAUCUCACAUUUAUUUUAAUCACUUGAUGAAAUUUACAUGCAUCACCUAAAAACUUGGUAUUUACAGAUAAAAGAAAGUGUUUAGUUUGGAUAUUUCUAAACAGGCAUAGUUUGUGACAUUCCUUGUUAUGUCUACACUUUGAUAGGGUAAGGGGUGUUACAAUUAGUGGUAUCAGAGCAAAGGUUUAGGCGAUUCUAGGUCAUAGUAUGUAUGUGUAUAUGUGUCAUAUAUGUACAUGCCAAAAUGAGUUACUGCUAUGAUAUGGUUCUGAUGUAAAUCUCUUCUUUGUGUUUUUAGGUUAGAUAGAAGAUGUCAUCUGAGUCACAGAGAGCCGUAGAUGAAGAGGUAGAGAGUCAUGCUCCCUCUGAGGCAGCUGCACCUGCUGCUGCUCCUCCACCUGCUGCUGCUGGCGGACCAGGGCAGGAUGCAUUAUUUUAGCAAAUAGCUGAGUUGCUUAGAAGGGUUACACAAAAUGUACCAGAGGUACCACCACCACCUGUAGCAGUCCAGGUUCCCCCACCUGUUGUAGCCCAAGCACAAUCUAGGCCUCUAAUAGAAAAACUCAGAAAGUAUGGUGCUACAAAGUUUAGAGGUAAAAAGGAAGAUGAUCCUUCAGCUGCAGAAUUCUGGUUAGAAAGUACAGAAAGGGUUUUACAGCAGCUACAGUGUUUACUAGCAGAGAGCUUGAUGUGUGCAGUAUCAUUGCUAAAAGAUGAAGCCUACAUAUGGUGGACAACAUUGACACAGAUGGUUCAAGCAGAACGGCAGACUUGGGAAUUCUUUUUGGCAGAGUUUAAGAAGAAAUAUGUUGGGGCUUUAUAUAUAGAGGAGAGAAGAAGGGAGUUCUUAUACCUCAGAUAGGGCAGGCUUAUAGUAACUGAGUAUGAGCGAGAAUUUUUCAGACUUACUAAGUAUGCCACAGAGAUAGUUCCUACAGAGGAAGAAAGAUGUAAACGCUUUGAGCAAGGAUUACAUGCUGAUAUCAGAAUGUACCUCAUAGCUAUGCAUAUCAGGUCACUGUCAGUUUUAGUGGAGACGGCCCACAGCUUAGAGCGAAUUAAAGAAGAAGAGCAAAGUAGAAAGCAGAAAGGGCAACAGAAGAGGAGCCAAAGUCAGUAUCAGGGACAAUCCUCUGCGUCUCAGACAACAAGCAAGAGACAGAGAGAAUUUCAACAGACAGGGCAGAGAGGGCCACCUAGGCAGAUUCAAAGACCUGGGCAGAGUUCAGUAGCGAGGUCUGGACAGCAGACUACCUCAGUAUCUAGUAUAGUAGGACCAGGUAGAGGGUUGCCACCAGUAUGUGAGCAUUGUGGUAGGCGACAUGGUGGAGUAUGCAGGAGAUUAACUGGGGCUUGCUACUUAUGUGGAAGCUCAGACCACUUUAUGAGAGAUUUUCCUAGAGGCCAGUCAGUGCAGCCUAUACAGACAGAGAGAUCUUUGCCGAUAGGGUCUAGAGGCAGAGGUAGAGGUAGAGGUGAAUCUAGCAAUGCUCAGAGUCACAGAGUAUCAAAGACAGUAGAUAGACCAUAUACUAGAGCACCUGCCAGGGCCUAUGCUAUUCGUGCAAAGGAUUCACCAGGACAAACCAGAUGUUAUAGCUGGUAAAUUUUCUAUCUUUGGCAAAUAUGUUUAUGCAUUAAUUGAUCCUGGUUCCACACAUUCAUAUAUCAGCAUACCCAUCAAUAAUGAGAAGGGAAUUCAAGUAGAACCCUUAUAACAUGACAUAGCAGUGACCAAUCCCUUAGGACAUCUUGUGAUUGUGAAUAGAGUGUGCAGAGAUUGUCCUAUAUGUGUGCAAGGUCACACCUUUUUAGGUGACUUGAUAGAGUUACCUUUUAGAGAAUUUGAUGUGAUUUUGGGUAUGGAUUGGUUGUCUAGACAUCAUGUUAUAGUUGACUGUAAGUUAAAACGAGUUACACUCAAAACAUUAGAGGGUUCUGAGGUUAUAGUUGUGGGUGAGAGGUCAGAUUACCUCUCUAAUGUCAUAUCUAUCACUACUGCUAGGAGGUUGAUUAGAAAAGGUUGUACAACUUAUCUAGCUAGUGUGAUUGAAACUAAGAAGGAAGGUCCUAGUGUCUCAAACCUACCCACAGUAUGUCAUUUUCCAGAUGUAUUUCCUGAAGAGUUGCCAGGGUUACCUCCAGAAAGGGAAGUGGAUUUUGCUAUAAAAGUUGUGCCAGGCACCGCACCUAUUUCGAUUGCUCCUUACAAAAUGGCUCCUACAAAAUUGAAAGAGUUGAAAAUAUAGUUACAAGAGUUACUUGAUAAGGGCUUUAUUCGACCUAGUGUUUCACCAUGGGGUGCACCAGUGUUGUUUGUGAAAAAGAAAGAUGGAUCUCUUCGAUUCUGCAUUGAUUACAGACAGUUGAAUAAGGUAACAAUAAAGAAUAAAUAUCCACUGCCCAGAAUAGAUGAUUUGUUUGAUCAGUUGAAAGGGGCCAUCAUUUUCUCUAAAAUACAUUUGAGAUCGGGUUACCAUCAGUUGAGAGUUAAAGGGGCAGAUGUGCCUAAGACUGCAUUCAGGACACGAUAUGGACAUUAUGAGUUUCUGGUUAUGCCAUUCGGGUUAACAAAUGCACCUGCAUCAUUCAUGGAUUUGAUGAACCGAAUCUUUCAUCCAGAUUUAGACCAGUUUGUUGUAGUAUUCAUUGAUGAUAUUUUGGUAUACUCUAAAACUAGGGAAGACCAUGACAGACAUCUGAGGGUAGUAUUGCAGACUCUGAGGGAAAAGCAACUUUAUGCCAAGUUCAGUAAAUGUGAUUUUUGGCUCAAUAAAAUAGCAUUUUUGGGACAUGUUGUAUCAGCGGAGGGAAUCAGGGUAGAUCCACAGAAGAUUAAAGUUGUUCUAGAAUGGAAGCCACCAAAGAAUAUUACAGAGGUUAGGAGUUUCUUGGGUCUAGCUGGGUACUAUAGACGGUUUGUGAAAGGGUUUUCACUUAUAGCAACUCCAUUGACUAAAUUACUACAUAAGGAUGUUAAGUAUGUUUGGGAUGAUAGAUGUCAGGCAAGUUUUGACAGAUUGAAAACUAUGCUUAUCGAAGCACCUAUACUUACACAACCUGUUUAUGGAAAGGAAUUUGUGAUAUACAGUGAUGCUUCCCACAAUGGACUUGGAUGUGUUUUGAUGCAAGAAGGUAAAGUGAUUGCCUAUGCUUUCAGACAAUUGAAGCCACAUGAGAAGAACUAUCCUACCCAUGAUCUAGAGUUGGCGGCCAUAGUUUUUGCACUAAGGAUAUGGAGACAUUACUUAUAUGGUGAGAAAUGUUACAUCUAUACAGAUCAUAAAAGUCUGAAAUACUUGCCCACACAGAAAGAGCUAAACCUGAGACAAAGAAGAUGGCUAGAGUUACUGAAAGAUUAUGAUUGCAUUAUAGAUUAUCACCCAGGCAAAGCUAAUCUGGUAGCAGAUGUACUCAGCAGAAAAUCCUUAUUUGCAUUAAGAGCAAUGAAUGCGCGGUUGACUAUAGUAGAUGAUGGAGCUAUCGUAGCAGAAUUGAAAGUUAGACCUAACUUACUGCAACAAAUUAAAGAAGCACAGAAAGAAGAUAUAGAGAUAGCCUUAUGGACUAGACAAGUACAAGAGGGGAAGAAGCAGAAGCAUGUGAUAAGUGAUGAUAGUUACUUAUACUAUGGUAACAGAGUAUGUGUACCUAACAUUGGAGAGCUGAAACAGAGUAUUCUUAUAGAGGCACACAAUAGUCCAUAUGUUAUGCAUCUAGGUAGCACUAAGAUGUAUCAAGAUCUGAAGAUGCACUAUUGGUGGCCAGGUAUGAAAAGAGAUAUAGCUAAAUUUGUAACAAAAUGUUUGACAUGUCAACGGGUAAAAGCAGAAUAUCAGGUCCCAUCAGGAUUAUUGCAGCCUAUCGCUAUACCAUAAUGGAAAUGGGAUAGAAUUACCAUGGAUUUUGUGACAGGAUUGCCACUCACACCAAGAAAGAAAGAUGCCAUCUGGGUAGUAUUAAAAUGGCUCCUUAUGAAGCAUUAUAUGGCAGAAAAUGUAGAACCCCAUUAUGCUGGACAAAACUUAGUGAAGCUAAACUUGUAGGUCCAGAGUUGGUAAGACAGACUGAGGAGAAAGUGAAGAUUAUCAAAGAAAGAUUGAAAGCUGCGACAGAUAGACAAAAUCCUAUGUAGAUUUGAGAAGAAAAGAUAUAUAAUUUGCUGUUGGGGACAAAGUGUUUCUAAAAGUUUCGCCGUGGAAGAAAGUGCUAAGAUUUGGCAAGAAAGGUAAGCUAAGCCCUCGGUUUAUUGGUCCAUAUGAAAUAAUUGAACGUGUGGGUCCAGUAGCCUACAGGCUAGCUUUACCUCCAGAGUUAGAUAGAAUACACAAUAUCUUCCAUGUAUCCAUGUUAAGAAGAUACAGAUCUGACCCUUCACAUGUCAUUUCAGCAGAAACCAUUGAUGUACAACCUGAUAUAACUUAUGAAGAGGAACUAGUGAAAAUUAUAGCAAGGGAAAUGAAAGAGUUAAGAAAUAAGAAGAUUCCCUUAGUGAAAGUGUUGUGGAGAGAUCACAAGGCAGAAGAAGCUACAUGGGAAAGUGAAGAAGUGAUAAAGCAACAAUAUCCCCAGCUAUUCAAAGCAGGUAAAAUUUCGAGGUCAUAAUUUCUUAAGAGGAGAGGAGUUGUAACAUCCUCAAACCCAUAGCUAGAGUGGUGCCAUCAUUAGGUAUGAGUUAGGCUAUUGCACUACUAGAGUAAGUGGCAUUAGGGGAGGUGCUAGCUUAACACUAAUAUGCUAAUAACUGAAUCAUAGAAAACUCAAAUAAAGAAACGGACGUAUCCAGAAAUAAAGCAGACAGUGUGAUUAGCGAGUCGGGAACAAGUCACUUUCGGGAGGUGCUUAGGGUUUCCUGACGUGCUUGCUUGAGGUGCUUGUUUAAAUCCGUCAUGCUUGCUUAAGUAAAAAGGACUUCUAAAGGCUAAAUGUAUAGUUUAGUAGGUCAAUCUAUGAUUAUUGAAAGUUUGAAAACUAAGUUGAAACAUGGUAAAGAGUUUAGUAGGUUAAAGUAUGAAUAUGGAAAGUUAAAAGAUGAUGUGUCACCUAGUUAUGCAUGAAAGAAUGACCAAGCAAAAUAGAAAAAGGGGUUGUCAUCUUCUUUCAUUCAUGUUGUCGUAGGUCAUCCAUUUUCAAAGAAGAAAACUUUACUUUUCUUUCUCCCACCAAAGCCAAGUCAAACUUCACCAAAUCAAAUUCUUCUUUUAACCAAAAUUUACCCUAAGGCCAAGAGCUAAAGUAACAGCCAUAUAUUGAAGGAAUCGAAGAAGAAAAGUUUAGGGUUCCAUAUACACCAAGCUUGAAAAUCAAAGGUAAGUUUAGAAAUGUGUAGGACAUAACAUCUACUCAUUUCUUCAUGCAAGAAUUUGAAUUAUAAAGCUUUAAUUUAUAAUUUAUUCAAUCCUUUCCUAAGACAUAAAUUUACCUAGAUGAAGGAACAUCAAAGGGAAAUGAAAUAGCAAGAGAUUAGAAGAGGAAAAGAAAAGAAGAAAUUCAAUAAAGGUUUGAUGUUUCUUUGAUUUUCUGUUUUCCUUGAAUUUUCUCAUGGACAUAUGAAGCUGGAGAUUGAUUUUACUUGCUGAAAAUGUUGCUUUGAUUGUAUAAAUUUGUGAUAUGAAUGUUAAAAUGGUGUUUGAAAGGCUUAGAGUAAAGAAACUUAACAUGAGAGCUAAAAGUGCAAAUCUGGCAGAAUAGAUUUUAACAGAGCAUCUUGUGUUACCAACUUCAUAACUUAUUGUGUAUUUAUUUAAAUUAGGCCUAAGAUACACCAAAUGAAAGCUAAGACAAAGAUCUAAAACUUUCAUGAAUUGAUCAAAUUCUGAAUCUGUAGGUAAGAUGAUGAAAAUUGCAAGUUAACUUAAACUGGACACAGUGGAAAUGCAUCCGGAACAGAGUCUAUUGAUUAUAUCAUAACUAAUUAUGUACACAGUGAAAUUUGUUAAGACCAAUUCCAAAUGAAUCUUAAUAAGUAUACCUAAAACUUUGUAGAAGACACUUAAGUUUGAAUUUGUAUGAAAAUGCAUGAAUCUGAUAAGUUUUGUGAUACUAUAAACAAGUACCAAUACUGGACUGAUUAAGACUUUAUUGAGCAGCUUGUAAAGAAAAAUUCAUAACUUAAGCUAGGAUGAUCAGAUUUAUAUGAACCAUACCUUGUUGGAAAGAUAAGACAUAAAUGUACAUUUCUUAUGAAGAAACUGAGUUAAAUUGUAAUUCUAAACUGCUUGAAAAGUUUAUGCAAUAUAUGGCAGAAUGUAGUUUUCUAUAUUGAAAUGCUAAGUCAAUAAAGUUUUGCACUAUUUGCCAUGAGUUUUCCAUAUUAUAAACCUUGGCAUAUGAGAUAUGUACUUUAGAAAAUGAAUUCAAAUAGCUUCAAAUGACAUGCAUUUACAUUGAUACAUUGAAUUAAUAAAACUUGGCCCUAGUAAACUCAAUAGGAGUCGAGGUUAGCUUAAGGGUAUGGCAUGCCAUAUAAAUAUACAGAGUUCGCAGUACUGCUGCCGAUACAUGAUUUAUAUUUGAGGUUACAUAUCUGAUACCUCAUAAGCAUGGCUACAGAGCUCUGCUAUCACAGUUUUAGCCUCUGAGCCUACCGUUCGGCACCCUGUGCCUACCGUUAUAACUCCUUAUCUACCUAGUCGAUCCUACUAUGUGUUUAUAAGGGCUAAGAUCUUAAUUAAGAUUGAUACUUG